GUGCUCGCCGUGGCAGCAUAAAGACUAAAAUUGGAAUGACACGGAAAAGGUUAGUGUGGCCCCGGCACAAGGAUGACACUCAAGUUCGUGAAGCGUCCAUAUUUUGC
rnacentral:snRNA from 1 species